GUAAUAAGUAUUUUAUUGCAUUUUAUAAUGCCAUUGUCAAUAAUUAGUACAGAUUACAUGCAACUAGACCUACUGUACAGUUUUUUAUUGUCUGCAUGGACAGACACAAGAAGAUUCAGGUUACAAAUACACAGAUAUAUGUGUGUGUUUUUAUACAGCAUGAAGGAAAGGGCAGUGACUGGCAUUACAUGGCUACCCGGGGUGGAGGGUUAGAGGGCUGGGCUUCAAUUUCUGUCUAAAGCCACGAACCAGUCCCUGUUCCCGCCUCUUCCUCGGGUCACACUUUAAAAAUAACAAGAAACAGAACAAAAACCAGAGGAUAAAGAGAGGUAAACAGGUAAACUGAAACUAAGAAACCAUACAGAGAGUCACUGCUGAAAAUGUACACACAUUCCUUAGGUUUAACCAGAGGAGAGCUGAAGUGGUGGUUCCAUCCGAUUCUGUCUACUUAAUAAUACCGUCAGGCAAUGCAUCCACUUUGAGAGUCCCUUUCCUCUCACGUGACACCUCAGAACUGUCCAAUCACAAGUCAGGAUUUGGGUUCCCUGUGUCCUUUGAGUCAAUCACCAGCCAAUAGGAUGCAGGCUGGUCCUACAACACCAUUACAUGGAUGUAAGAGAGAUUACAGCUAUCAGUAAAGGUGAGUGAAGUCGAUGGAGACUUUUGGAAGUAGCUUGGUUUUGUUUGGUUAAAGUUGUGACAUUGGUUUGGUUGCAGUUUGGUUACAGUUCAGGAGUUUGGACUAAGCAAAUGGCUGCUUUCAAUGCCUUUGGUAGUCAGACGAUGAGCUGCAUCUCUGAGAGCCAUUCCCCGUUUUGGUAUCGGGACUAUGCAAGAGGAAUAUCAAAAAUGCAACAGUGUCAGGCUUUGAUCUGCCUCUUUGGGACUGGGAAAUGAGGUUUGUGACUCAGUGACACCCCCAUAGCGCCUGCAGAUGAUUGACAGCUCCGUGGGUCGGAGUUCAGCAUGGGAAUGACAGGGGUCAGGGGUCAGAGGGAGGGGUCACAGGGAGCUGGGACACAUAUUGGCACCUGAGAGGACCAAUAACCAUAUCUUUCUAGAGCUCCGCUGUUUUUUUUAAAGCAAGAGAGGGGCUACAUAUUCUUACAUUUUUUCUCUUUUUCUUUUCAGAGGUUUUGGUCCUGUCUUUGAGAAAAAGUCCUUCUGAGGUAUCAAUACAUAAUAGUUUGUUUUCCAUUUGUUUUUUUCUUUCCUUAAAAAUGCAUAAAUGCAGUACAGAGACAAAAAAGUAUCAAAAUAGACCUAGCUAAGAUAAAUAUACAAACAGGUGUUACCUAAACCACUGAUCUAACUUUUAUUCUUUUACAUUUUUUAGAGAUAAUACACUUAAAAAAAACAGCGUCCCAGACGUUUUAUGAAGAACUGAAAAAUGGAAACAAAAAAACAAAGCAAAACUAAUAAACUGAGAUACCUGCAGCACUUAUGAUAAAUACAUAUACUUCAGCAUUAGCAGUACAGUAUAGGAAUCAGAGCUGAAAGCUUUACAAUAGCUAAACAGGUGCAGAAAAAAAGAAAAGUAAAAUUAAAAAGACAAAAUGGGAAAGAAUGCCCUGGAGAGAUAAGUCAAGCAUUAUUAUACAAGAAUACAUUGUGUUAUGCCAAGCUGGAGAAAGAACAGAAGUGUUACAUGGUGACCUGUGAACAUCUUUAUAAAACAGCUUUGUUUACAGGUGUACCUUAAAGCACAAGUCAGAGAUCAUUGUUGUAUUGUAUGCUGCAGUUCCUCUUAGUUUGGAUAUUACUAGUCGUGAUGAGUAUCAUUUUGCUUGAGUCAGUCCUCUCGGUGUCUCUGCGAGUGUUUUGGGCCAAGUGGGUGCUGCUCUGUUGUUGGUCUUUGGAUAUCUGGAUGGUCAGAGCCUCCGUUGCACUAACCCAUAGCCCCGCUUCUAUGCUUCUGGUAAACCCCUAUGUGUGUGUGUGUGUGUGUGUUUGUGUGAGGGAUGCGGCACUGUAAUAGUGACACACUUUGAGACGUAGAGAGUGCUUUAGAUGUGGUUUAAGGAGAGGUAGUCAUUUUGAAUUCCAUGGAAAGCAAAACAUCUCUAUGUUUUUGGGCUCAAGCAGAUGUAUUAGGGAGUCCGGAUCACCAAAUAACAUUUGUUUUGUCAGUAAUACGGUAAGUGUAAGAACAGUUUUGGCAUUCCUUAUUAUCAUUGAGGAAGAAUGGAGGAAAAGAAAAUAUUUAAGAGAGUUCAGUCUCCCAUUGGCUAUGCGUUGAACUGUUUUGAAAAGGAGGUAGUGUUAUUUUUGGUUUUAUAUCUUGUUUCAAGAUGUCAGUCUGCCACUUUGUACUUUAUUAGAAAUCAGUCUGCAAUGUGACAGGAAACUGUCCUGUUUGAACACAAAGUCGUCACAAAGAUUCUGUCAUUAAAUAAGAAAAUCGAGCAAGAGAUAGUAUGAAAAUAUGAACCAGACUUUCCAUACAUGACGUCCCUUAGAUGUUUUCCUCUUACAUUGGUAUAUUUUCUCUAUUAUUCUGAGUGGUUCCCUCUAUAUUGUAAUAUAUAUGUUUUGGAAUAACUCAUCCAUGUUCCGAGAUGUGACCUUUAAAACCACAUCACACUUCCUCUUCCUGCAAAUACUACAUACAGACCAAGAGGGUGUGUUUGUUCCCUAGAAUGGAAAAAAUGUUUGUUACGACAUCACCAGAAAAGGUAUCCUGUAAAGCGAAAAGUGUUUAAGUUCCUCACAAGUGCCUAAUUUUUAGUCCUGCUCAUACAGCAGUAGGGCCAGUCGGAGGAUUGUGUUUGAAACACAGUUCAGCCUGAGGGUGGGAGACAGGGUUUCACCUCUAAGUGCUUUUUUUCUUAUUUCUUUCUUUUUGUUUUUCAGAGGAACUGUGCGAGGUGUGAUAAUACAAAUGUUUGGCCUCUUACCAAAUGUGAGUCAUUCAGAACUGCUUAUCAUGUAAAAGCUUUGAUGUCUCCAAGAUUUUGUUUGCUCAACACACUUUGGUUUUUCGGAAUGGCGUGCACUGUAGGUCGUGUAUAAUUUGAACACAAUGGCUAUAUGAAUACAAUAACAAGAAUUCAAACUCCUGGUUUGUUGUGUUUUGGCCAAUUCUUUAAGAGGAAAAUUGAAAAGGGCAAAAAAUAAAACUACAGGGUUUUUGGUUUUCUACAUUUCUUUGGUUACCUGUAACAAAAAUAAAAGGGGAAUAAGCAGAUAAUAGAUUAAAAUAAAUGUUAAAUUUGGUAUGGCACUGUAGAGAAAAGUAAUGAUUUUUACGCUCAAGGAAAACGAAAAACAAAGAAUAAAUCUCAUGUGCUAUUCCUUUCACACAAACUCACACAGUGAAUUGAAUUCUACACAUUAAACUAUCACAGCCAUAGAGCAAUGAGCUGAAGCUGAGCAGAGUCGCCUCAUUUGGUGUCCCACGGAAAGAAUUCCCCUUUAGCGUUUAUCAAUUUGGACACAGUUCCAGGCAGAACCUUUGUGGGAUGAGGUAUUCUCUGACUGCAGUAAUAAUAUAUAUAUAUAUAUAUAUAUAUAUAUAUAUAUAUAUAUAUAUAUAUAUAUAUAUAUAUAUAUAUUUUAAGC
ensembl:lncRNA